GACAGUUCUGAGGUGAAUUAAAAACUGACGUUGUUUUCGUUGCGCUCGGACAAACAACUAAAGAACUAUCAGUUAUACCCCCUUCUACCCCCUCACAGAGCAAAAAAAAGAGGAUGAACUGAGGCCAUUUCUGCUAUCAACGAGCGAUUACGGUGUCCAACAUGUAGAGGAGGAUGACAUGAUUUAACCAUGGACUUCUGAGUUAACUAAGAAAAGGCUUAGAAGUCAGAACUAAGUCAAAAGUGAUGUCCGUUAAACACGACUUAUCCCAGUCCUUGACCGCCACACUCCGCUGAUAACAGGCCGCCGUUGCCAUGACAACGCUCCAUCGUCACAGCGUCUAGACUGCCGAUGACACCUGACACCGCAUCCAAUUGAGACGAGGUCACGGUGAAGUGACUUUGAGCCUUGACUAACUGGGCCUCUUUGAGAGCAGCCCUCACAUUCCUGCUAACUCCGACGGGCCAUGCAGCGCUUAAUACCAGCACCGGGGAGGAAGUUUCUGCCGGCAGGGAUUAUGCGCAGUUUCCUCAGCCCUGGAGCUUCGGCCUUGUCCCCUCCCACUGCCGAAAAAGCAGCGAUUCCACAAAAUGAGCAGGAGGGGGAUAGCGGAGCGCCGCAAACUUAAACCUGCUCUUCUCUCCACCAGGCAGUGCCCGAAGGUUUUUCACUCGCCUGCUUUAUAUACUUAUUUAUUUAUUUACUCUCAAGCUCCGCUCGAGAUUGCAUCAUAUUAUAUUUUCAGUAGGAAAGGACUAACGUUUCGGCCGUGAUCGCAGCACCAUGGUACAGAAGUGCAUUGUAUUGGGACCCGAGUAAGGAAGGAGGGAGCGUGAGAGGAGGAGGAGGAGGAGGGUGCUGGAGAAGCACACAGCUGCACGGCACACUGAAGCCGGCUUCCCAACCCUGACAGCAAGGGAGUGAGUGAACAAGGGGCCUCGCUACAGCAGCUCUGUACAGGAGAGAGAUUUCCUUUCUUUCUUUCUCCGUUUUUUUGUUUGUUUUUGUUUAGUUUUUUUUCCCAAACGCUCCAAAAUACAGAACGGAUCAGAAAAGGAAAGAGGAUUUUUUUUUCUCUCUUCUCCAUGGUUGGCUACUCUUAUCCACUACAUACAAUGAGCAUCAGCAUAGGAUACGUGUCCGGAGUUGUGCUACGUCAGGAGUAGAAAUUUAAGAAGUCACCUUGUUCAGCAUUCAGGUUUGGUCCAGCUUUUAAGUACCGCACUGCUGAAAAAUAUGCAGUCUCUCCCAAUGCAAAGGGCCAGUUUCUUCCCACAAAUCAUUCAGAGCAACGUAAAGGAUUUUCCACUGCAGCCAUGCAUAAGUCAUGUAGCCCUACCCCUUUCACCUGCAGCAGUGUGUGUGUGUGUGUGUGUGUGUGUGUGUGUGUGUGUGUGUGUGUGUGUGUGUGUGUGUGUGUGUGUGUGUGUGUGUGUGUGUGUGUGUGUGAAAAGC